rnacentral:rRNA from 1 species
AUGUCUGCCAUAGCACGGUUCUUGACAAUAAAGUCACAACACAAUCAACCUGAAUCUUGUUAUAAUGAUACACUACAACUGAUCCAUGAGCUGCUGCCUAACAAUUCCUCACUGCCAAAGGACUUCUAUAGGUCAAAGAAAUUGCUAGAGGGUCUUGGUAUGCCAUAUCAUAAAAUUCAUGUUUGUCCCAAAACUUGCAUGUUGUAUUACAAGGACAAUAAGAAUAAGCAGAAAUGUGAUUUUUGUAAGACCCCUAGGUACAAGGCUGGUUCAAAAAAGAUCCCACGUAAGGUGUUGCGGCACUUGCCUAUAAAAGAUAGGUUGCAGCGAUUGUUUGCACAUGAGGAGACCGCAAAAAUGUUGCGAUCGCACAAAGAAACUCCUGGUAAAAUGGUGCACCCACGUGAUGGUGAAGCAUGGCAACAACUUGAUAAGGAUUACCCAGACUUUGCAUUAGAUCCUAGGAAUCAGCGAGUAGUUGUAUCCACAGAUGGCUUCACUCCUUAUAGUUUGUCCGCUGCUUCUUAUUCAUGCUGGCUAGUGUUUGUGGUUAGUUUAAAUCGGCCUCCUGAAGUCAUAAAUCGUUCUGAGUACAUAUUUCUUGCUCUUGUUAUCCUGGAGAAAAACUCAAUGUCCUUAUGCAACCUUUGGUUGAUGAAUUGA